GAGCUCACCAUUAGGAGGCUCUCUUGGGGAAGGGGAAGUUGGUCUUUGGAGCCCGGGAGACUCCCAACAUUUAGAAUUCAGAAAAUACUUUGAGAAGGAAAAUUUUAUUUGAGGCUUUCCAAAGCUCCAAUUUUGUCACUCAAACCCAGUAUGUGAUGCAUUUUCAAAACUGAACGGGUUAAGAAGAAUAUGAUUGACUCUUCAAUGGUCUUGACCAAGACGAAUCACAGUCGCCUCCCCAGAAUCCUUGCAACUUAACAACCCUUGCGUUUGCUGCUUCAGCCCAGAGAGAAGGGCCCGAUCGGACGCUAUGCCUGAUGCUGUCAGGACAAACAGACGUGCAGUCUGUGCAAACUCUUUGCGCGGUAGGAGCUUAUGCUUAAACCGCUUUCUCCAAAGCCUCCCAGCAAGGGAAGUAAAAAGACUUUCCACCCAGUGCCCAAGACGUACCACUGUACUGCAUCGGUCCCACCGUCCUCUUUCCUGACCCUGGAGGGUUAAAUCAGGAGGGUACAACGCCACCCCUUCCUACUACUUCCCGCCUCCCCCCACCCCUCACCUUUAAAAAGUUAAAAAAUGUCUGCAGUCGAAAUCUCUUAAAGGGG